CCUACGGGAGGCAGCAGUGAGGAAUAUUGGUCAAUGGACGAGAGUCUGAACCAGCCAAGUAGCGUGAAGGAUGACUGCCCUAUGGGUUGUAAACUUCUUUUAUAUGGGAAUAAAAUGUUCCACGUGUGGGAUUUUGUAUGUACCAUAUGAAGAAGGAUCGGCUAACUCCGUGCCAGCAGCCGCGGUAAUACGGAGGAUCCGAGCGUUAUCCGGCUUUAUUGGGUUUAACGGGAGCGUAGGUGGAUGGGUAAGUCAGUUGUGAAAGUUUGCGGCUCAACCGUAAAAUUGCAGUUGAAACUGGAAGUCUUGAGUACAGGAGAGGUGGGCGGAAGUCGUGGUGUAGCGGUGAAAUGCUUAGAUAUCACGAAGAACUCCGAUUGCGAAGGCAGCUCACUGGACUGCAACUGACACUGAGGCUCGAAAGUGUGGGUAUCAAACAGGAUUAGAUACCCUUGUAGUC
rnacentral:rRNA from 1 species